ACAACUAAGAAGAUAAGAGUAAGACCCACCGAAUCGGUUCCGUUAUCGGCAUCAAAUCCCGCCGAGAGACUGUCUCUGAUUAUUAUGUUGUGUGGACAUGGCCUCACUUGCCACCCCUGCGCACGUUAGCAACUUGCAUUGUCCCACUUGGAAGACGAAGCGUGUGAGAUGCGCACUGUCACCCCCAACAUGGCGGGAAGGCCGGCGCGUGGUGUCCCUCUCUCUCGUUCUCUCCCACUUUCUUCUCAUUCCUAAUCGUGAUGCAGCCCAUGCAAGUAUUUUAGAUAAGUAUGUUAAGAGAAAAAAGCUUGAUCCUCUGGAGGCUUAUGUACCAGCUGUCAUACUUACACAGUUUCAGAUCAAAGACUUGGAAAAAACAUUAGAGGCUGAUGAGCCUCAAUUUGCCCUCUGCCGGUCUCUGCUUCGUUCGGGGCCUGCAGCAUCACUUCGCAUAAAUAUUAGAGCGGUGGCACAGUAUGCAUCUGACAGUGGCUAUGGUAAAACUGCAUUCAACAAUGUUGAUGAAUGUCUGAGCUAUAGGCUGCAAAGAAAUAAAUUUGAUCAUGAUGAAAAGAUCAAACAUCAACUGAAGAAUUCUGUUUCUGAAGGUCGCUGGAAGAACUUGAUUCCUUGCUUCUGAAUGCAUCAAGAAAUGAUCCUGAAGCCUCAGUCAAGUCAAUGAAGACAAAAAUCAAUUCUGCCCUUAAUGCUCUGGACAGUCUCUUACAAACCGUACCUUCGGAUGUGCUAAGUAAGGGAAAGGCUAUAGCUGAUUCAUACAGGGAACCGGAACACGUGGAAACUGGGAGUUUAGACCCUGAAUUAAAGCAACUAGAAUCGAUCCUAUGAACAGCUAACACACUUGUUCGCCUUUUGAGUGUUAGCCGCCAGCUUAGUAAUGAUUGUAGAAACCAAAGUGCCAAAGGUUGACCUUACAACACAAAUAGUUUUUUAUGUAUCAAUUUGAAAAAGAUUGAGUUGCCGAUCUUCUUUUUUUUUUCUUUAUCUUCUGUGUGAUAUAAAGAGCAAAUAAAAUCAUCAACAGAUAACUUCCUUGUAUGU